GCUGUAAAAGUUAAGGUUAAACAACCAGUCUUGUAAACUGGCAAAGAAAGUUAAACUCUUUCUUACAGCU
rnacentral:tRNA from 1 species